CUGGGGUCAGGACAUAGUGCAGGAGCAGGAUCAGGGCUCAGGGUCAAGGCUCAAUGUGCAACUGCAGUCAGGACACAGUGUGGGGUGAAGGUUGGGGCUCAGCUAGCACCAGAGUAGAGGCUGUGUCCAGGUUAAGACUGUAACGCAAGACAGAAAACACACACAGCCAUACGAGGCCACUGUCAGCCGUGCUGGGUAUCUUUAUUUAUUAAGCUUUAUUUUCUGUAGAAGCAAGGUUUUGCUAUGCUGUCCAGGCUGGUCUCGAACUCCUGGCCUCAAGUGAUCUUCCUGCCUCAGCCUCCCAAAGUGCUGUGAUUACAGGCAUGAGCCACUGUGCCCAGGCCAUGGUGGGUAUUUUUAAUGGACAAGAACCCAGAAUGAAGAUCUACAGAGGCUUCCUGGAGGUGGUGGGACUGAGGUCAUCUGGUUUGGCAGGAUGGAAGGCCAGCUUUCCCAGGGUGGAACCAUCAGAGUGGAGGUAAUGGAGGAAGAAGGAUCUGAAGACGCAGGGAAGUGCCCAGGCCCCCGCAGGGAGGCUGAAAGCAGCGGUGCCUGCCACGCCCGAGAAGCAGGCUCCAACUCACGUGCUCGUCAGCAGCCGCACUGCUGCCUGCUUUGUCAUUUUAUGCUUAUGUAAAAAAAUACUUUUUGCAAGAAAAAUCUACAGGUACAAAAUGUCAUCCCAGCCCCAUACAGUACCAAGUAAUAUAUAGGCAUAUAUAUAUAUAUAUAUAUAUUUAUGUAUUUAUAACAGAAAAUUGGAUAGAAAUUAUUCCA
rnacentral:lncRNA from 1 species